rnacentral:rRNA from 1 species
AUUGAACGCUGGCGGCAGGCUUAACACAUGCAAGUCGAGCGAGCGGCGGACGGGUGAGUAAUGUCUGGGAAACUGCCCGAUGGAGGGGGAUAACUACUGGAAACGGUAGCUAAUACCGCAUACCAUCAGAUGUGCCCAGAUGGGAUUAGCUAGUAGGUGGGGUAAUGGCUCACCUAGGCGGCGAUCCCUAGCUGGUCUGAGGGGAUGACCACCCACAUGGGACCUAGGACACGGUCCAGACUCCAACGGGAGGCACCAGUGGGGAAUAUUGGACAAUGGGCGCAAGCCUGAUGCAGCCCGGCCGCGUGUGUGAAGAAGGCCUUCGGGUUGUAAAGCACUUUCAUCGAGGAGGCGUUACUCGCAGAAGAAGCACCGGCUAACUCCGUGCCAGCAGCCGCGGUAAUUC